AGCGAACGCUGGCGGCAGGCCUAACACAUGCAAGUCGAACGAAGUCUUCGGACUUAGUGGCGGACGGGUGAGUAACACGUGGGAACGUGCCUUUAGGUUCGGAAUAACUCAGGGAAACUUGUGCUAAUACCGAAUGUGCCCUUCGGGGGAAAGAUUUAUCGCCUUUAGAGCGGCCCACGUCUGAUUAGCUAGUUGGUGGGGUAAUGGCCCACCAAGGCUACGAUCAGUACCUGGUCUGAGAGGAUGACCAGCCACAUUGGGACUGAGACACGGCCCAAACUCCGACGGGAGGCAGCAGUGGGGAAUCUUGCGCAAUGGGCGAAAGCCUGACGCAGCCAUGCCGCGUGGAUGAUGAAGGUCUUAGGAUUGUAAAAUCCUUUCACCGGUGAAGAUAAUGACUGUAGCCGGAGAAGAAGCCCCGGCUAACUUCGUGCCAGCCGCCGCCGUAACAC
rnacentral:rRNA from 1 species